ensembl:lncRNA
AUCUGAUGCUGCAACAGGAAAGGCGCAGCACUUCUUCCCCUCCUAAUGAACUCCAAGGUGCUGCAAUUUCAGUGAUUGCCAUGCUUGUCACAGAGGAAUUAAGGCAGAGGUGUUUGCCCGGGCGCUGUCUGCAGCGGCCGAGAAGACCAAAAGGAGAAAAAGAGAGAGAGAAAGAGGGAGAGAGGAGACUUGAUAGAAAAAUCUGAUUCCCAAAACUCUUGUAAGUGUCAUUACUUUCUAAGAAAAUGAAUUGCUUUCUAAGUAAAAGAGAAAUGUGGAGGAAUGCCUGAAAUGGUAGCAGGGAAUGGACUCUGCCUGUCUCUUUCCUACGCAGCGAGAUUUCUGGGGCACAAAGCAGAGGCCUAGAGGCUGCAGAGCAUUUCUCUGAGCUCUGAAGCAGAGCUGGGCCUGGUUUGAAGGAGCUUUCCCUUCCUGACCGCCCGCGGGGGGCUCAGCAGCUUGGGGGCUGUGUUACCUGGGUCCCAUCCCACAGGCAGACAAAGGCCGGGAGCUUCUUUCCUUGUGCAGCAGAAAUAAGGAGGGGAGGAAAUCGGUUUUGGAGAAGGAAGGGUUGCUUUGCGAGAGCGGCGGUGUGCGGGUGAUGGUGUGGGUCAGGACGGGGCUGCGCCGAUGUUUUCAGGGUUUGUUGUGCCGCCGUUGAUGUCGGGUUCGAUCUUGUGUGUUUUUCUAACGUGGUCGUCUCUGCCUGGCGGAGCCGGGGUUUGGAAAUGGAAGGAAAGUGGAGGCAUGUUGCUCGUCUCUGGGAUCUCUUUGUUCAGGGAACAGUAGGUGGUGGGUUUAAAAAGGCAGAGAGGGAAAGAGGGGGAGAAGAAGAAAGAAAUGAAAAAGGAAAAAAAAAAAAAAAAAAAAAGGUUCUUUGCAAAUCAUCUGACUAUUUUCUUCCGGGAUGAAGAAAUGCUGCAUUAGAGAUUAAGGCAGGGCCAUGCUUAAAACAAAAUGUCUCACUGGAAGUGCUAAUAAAACAGCAGCAGAGCCCAGCCUGCUUUUACAGCCUGCAAGCCAGGAAGGGGCUACAGGGAUGGGAUUGGGGGGCAGCCAAUGGGGGCAUUUCAUUGUGAACUUCAGAGGCUCUGAGCUACCGGUGCGGUUUGGUUUAGAGGGGAAAUUAAACCCUGCCACCAGCACUGUUGCCCGCUGCCACACGGCACGGCUCAGCCGCCCACACCGGGGCUCGGUGCUCUGUCAGGGGCUCAGCAUCCCACUCCGUGUCCCGUGGUUUGAUGGGGUUGGGCUGGGGAGAAAGCAGCAGCAAAAUCUAUGGGUUCCCCUAGGAGGAUCUGGGGAAGGCGUCCGGGGCAGCACGAGCAAGCAGCGUUUCCCGCAUCCCAGCCCGCACCUCCGCGGCUGCCUUGCUGCAGAAUGAGCAGAGCAGCCCGUGGUAUGGAGCUGGGGGAGAAUCCCUGCGCGCCGGUCCCGUGCCCCGGAGCUGCGGCCCCGCGCCUUCAAUACCAUGGACAGCGAAGCCGAAGCGCGGCGGCACCGAAGCGGCGCCGGGUGGGGACGGAGAGCGGGCCGGGAGCCGGAGGGGGCCGUGCGGACACACCGCAGCGCCUGCCCGGGCUCUGUCCCCGCUGCCACCGGCUCCCAGGAGCUCCGGGGCCGGAGGAGGAGGGGAAAGGCUGCCCAACGUGCCCGGAGUUGGGGAGAAAGCUUCUGGAGCAGAAUGCUUCCCUCCGCCUUCAUUUGGUGAGGUUGUUUUCUUUUAGAUCAAUAACAGAUUGAGAGACGUGGUCUGUCAGAGUAAAUAGGUCAAUAUAGAAUAGGCUGUAAAUAAGCAGAUUUUAAAAUAAAUAAAUAAAUAAAAAUAAACACGUUUCAGAAGACGAAACGCUAGGGGAAAAUUCCCUUUGCUGCAUAACAUCAAACGUUGAUAUCCCCCUCCCCCUCCCCCUACCCCCCUUCCACCCCGUUUGGUGCCUAUGUCAUGCACUGCAGAGUUAUAAACACAAAUAGGGGCCCUUUAAAAUACGUCUCUUGAGCUUGGAAGGUGAUAUUUCACCUCGCUGCAGUGCUCCUGCUUGUCCCUCGUUGGCCAAACAUGGCCCAGCAGCCGCUCAUUCUGUGAAAUGCUAUCUGCAGGCCGACCUCCCCUCGGAGCCCCGUGUGUGGGAGCCGCCAUCCGCCAUGCAAUUGUGCUGAUGGAGCAGCAAAGGGAGCAGAUCGCAGCCCCAGCGGUCGCUGCCCCGCUGUCCUGGACCUGCAGGGGCACGGGGGCCUUCUAAGGCUGCGCCAAGAUGCCUUCCAUCAAAACCAUUGUGUCCUGCCUCCUUACCCCUUCCUGAGAAGGGAAAUACCACUGGGCAUGGAAACACACGCAUGCAAAUAAAUCCUUGCCUGAAAGCUACGCUAGCGAAUGCGCAGUGCGCUGCUGGUCAUAAAGUUGCUUUGGACAGGGAAUAGGGGUGUGUAGAAACCCCCCUGGAUCUGCACCUCCUGUCACAAACAUCAAUGUGAGUACGUGCGUGCGGAUGUCCACAGCUUGGGGGUGCAUGUACGGAUGGGGGGUGGAUAACCAGCAGCGAGGAAGCAGUCUGCUUAUGGAAAAACAAAACACAUGAGGCUUCUGAGCAAAGCCUCUCCCAGCUGCCUGAAGCCCACUUGGUGUUCAAUCCAUUUUCUUUCCCCAGGCACGAAAUUUGGCCUCCCUAGGUAAAUAAAUGUGUACCCGUGCCCCUUUUCAUUGUGAUGAGGUCUGGAAGUUUAACCAAGGAGAACUGCAGCAAAACCAUGGCCGAAUGCUUCCCAGCAGUGAGCCCCGGCCGGGCUGCCGUGGGGUUGGGGCAGGGCGAGGGCAGAGCAGCUCUGAGUGCCUUCUGCAUUUCCAAAGGUGGGAGAUUUAGCUCGAAAAAUACCCUGUCUGUUUGUCACCUGGACGUCAAAACCGUUCCCUUUCAGCACAGCAGGUCCUCACGCCUGCAGGUCUGUGCUCAUGUGACACAGGGAAAAAUCUAACGUUAAAACCCCAAAUAUAAAAUUUGUAUUAGAUAUUUAAGGGGAACCUCUUACUUUAUAUACCUCAGGACACAUUGUCUCUGUUCUGAGAGAACGGGGGUGAAAUCCUACACGUUUCUAAAAUAAAAAAAAAAGGGGGGGGGGGGAAGAGAGAGAAAGAAAGAAAAGAAAAGAAAAAAAAACCGUUUUAAAAUUACAUUCAUGUCAGCUUUAAAAAAAAAAUUAUCGCUGAUGUCUUUUUGAGCUUGGAAAUGUAACUGUAGGAUGCAGCUCUCCCCUCCCCCUCUGCCCCUCCACCCCUCCCUUCCCAACUGAAAAAAAAAAAAAAAAAAAAAAAAGAAAGAAAAGAAAAAGCAACAGAAUAUAUAAAGCUGCUCUGAUUAACAGUUUAGGUGCAGAGCCCUAUUUAUAAGGCACACGCUCUGCUAUAACGCCUCGGUCCUGCAGCCCGGAGCGGUGCAUUAUUGAUGCAGCUGCAAGUGCUCAAAGCUUAAACACUAUUUUCCGAGAGCCCCAGCAGCCCGCCUGGGAGGAAGGUGGGGACGGGCUGGCAAUGGAGUCCUGAAUGUUACUCCUCCAGUUUCAAGGACAUCUUGCUGAUGAGGAUUUGGUUAAUGGAGGAGAACUUAUGUCCUAGCGGUGACGUCAUUGGGUCCCAAUGUAAUCCUCUUGUGCUGAACCCAAUCAGCAGAUGUGCUGAGAGCCGGGAUGCGGAGAAGAAGCUCUAAUCCCUUAGACUGGAUGAGAUCAGCUGAAACAGCCAGGACUAGACCCCAAACCCCUCUGCUAGGAAGAUCAAGAGAAAAGGGAUAAAUUGAGAGAGACGCCUCAUAACCCCUUUAAAGAGCUUUGGAGAAGAGAAGAGAAAGAUGGGUGGUGCACCAAGUUCAUCUUGCUUUUAAAGCCUAGCGGGAGCCUGGUUUUCGCUCUGAUGAGGUCCUUCUGCAUUGUUCCAGGGCAGGAGGAGAGAGGAGGAAAAAAAAAUGAGAGAAAAAGGAAAGAAAAAAAAAAAAGGAGGGAGAGAGAAAGAGAGAGAAAAAAAAAGUCUGAAAUUCAAAGAUAAUGAGAGACUAGGCGCCUUUCUUAUUCAUCUCCAGCUUGCCUACACAAAAACAGCAUCCUGAGCCACGGGAGGGCGUUUGCAUUGGAUCUGAGCGAGGCAGCAGAGUUUGUGCCGCCGGAGCCACAGCGCGCUGCUUCCACUGGAGUGGGUAAAUCUGCUAAGAGCUGUAAUUACGGGGUUUGGGCGACAAUGGUGGGAUAGCGACCCGGCUCUGUUGCUAACUUGGAAGAGCAUCAGGAUUUUUUUUUUUCGCCCCUUUUGCAAGCGACCUUAAUGGGCUUGUGAUUUUCUUUCUUUGCUUUUCUUUCUUUUUCUUCCUUUUUUUUUUUCCUUUUUUCUUCUUUUCUUUUUUCUUUUUUUGGACAAAAAGGAAAGGGAGGAAGGGGAGGGGGUGAUUGUCAGACGCGGUAUCUAGAGAGAGAAAUCGUCCUAAAUUCAUAAAGCGCCUCUCAGUCCGACGGCGAUCAUCGAAACGGCUUUAAUUGCUUUAUUCCUUUCUGAGCCCUUCCAAUUCUUUUUUUCUUUUUCUUUUUCCUUUUUUUUUCCCUGUUUUUUUUUUUUUUUUUGAAAUUAACAUUUAAAAAACAAUAAUAAUGAGUGGAGCGAUGCUGAUGCCUCACCGCGGCGCAGCGCAGCGAUCGGAUCCCCGCGCCUCCCUCCGCCGCUUUCCCUUCGGGAGGAGAGCGAUCGUUCCUUUGCGUUGCGAGCGGAGGGAACACACGAGGGGGGAUUUUCCCUUCGCUCUCCAUUCCCGGGGACGGAGCGGUGCAGCCGCCUCACCCGACGCACCGCGGGGUUCAGCGGGAGGAGCCCCCGGAGCCCCGUGGCUCUGCGGCGGCUGCCCCCGGGAUGCGGGCACGGCUCCGGGGGUUGCCGAGGGGGGGUUGCGGCGCAGUUCUCCCGGCUCUGCUGCCCGCAGCACCGCUUCUCGCUACUCAGGGUUCGCGCUGUGGCCGUCCGUCCGUCCCGCGGGGCCAGAGCUGCCGGCUGGCGGAGCCCCGGGGGGGGCUUCGUGGGGCUGAACCCCCGCCUUUGGGCUUUGGGAAUGGAAUGAAGGAGGGAAGGGGGCGAUGCCCGCCCCCCCCCCCCUCUCCCCCGCCCCGAUCCCGCUGAGCCCCCGAGGCCGCCCCGGCGGAGGGGAGCCCCGGGCCAUGGAGUGGCACCGGCCCCGCGCUCACAGCCUCUUUCUCUCUCCUGCGAACCCCUCUCUCCGCCUUCCCUGCUCCGAGCCGGGCCAGCCCGAGCCUCUCUCUGCGUGUUCACAGCGGACCUUGAUUUAAUGUCCAUACAAUUAAGGCACGCGGUGAAUGCCAAGAGAGGAGCCUCACAGCUUCAUUUUCAUGGAAAUUGGGGACAUACACCCUCUAAUUACACUUAACAACAGCCACGGAGCGAUCUAUGGAGCAUCCCCGGCCCUUUGACAAACAGCGCGAACAAUGCGGGCAGGGCCCGAGGGGCCGGGGGAGGCGGCCGGGGGCCCCGAGGCCCCGCUCCCGCACUGCGGCUGGGGGCUGCCGCCUUACAAAGGGCACAGGAGAUCGGGCACGGCGGCACGGGGAGGGGGUGCCUGCGCCGGGCCCUCUGCCGAGCUGCGGGACCUCCGGAGCGGUGCUGGGAAAGCGGCGAGAGGAGCGCGAUGCAGUGCUGAAGGUCCCCGAAAAAAACACCCCCCACCACACCGAGGGUUGCUUUUUUCUAUUUUUUUUUCUUUUUUUUUCUUUUUUUUUUUCUUUUUGGAAUGGCGAGGGGGCUUUUUGCCGUGUUACCCCUUUGCCACGCUCUUUUCCUGCUCGCAGCCUCACUCUUUUCUUGUGCAGAGGCUCAGAGCGCAGCCCGCUGCGCUGCGGGGUCACAACGCGGGGCCGUGGUACCGUCCCCUUUGCACCCCGACAACGCGCAGAAUUAAAUCACGAGCCCGCUUUUGCUUCUCCGAAAGCCGAAUGGGUGCAGCGACGUGAGGGGCUGCAGCAUCACAGCCGCCCCGGUGCCACCUCCGCCGCCGCGCCGUCACCGCAGCCUCAAGGUGAGACGCGGCCCCUUCCGCAGUUUCCCCGCGGCGGUUCGUAGGUUAGCCUUCAGACCUCAAUAAAUCUCUUUGUAAGACUCGUGUUUUCAGCUUCCUAAAGACACGCCGAGCCCCAAGUCCUGAGCCUCCUGAGCGCUGUACUCACGCAAGGGAAUAUCUCAUUAUUUGGCCGUGUAGCUGGAUUCAGCCGCACACCCUCCGCACCCCCUCCCCUCUUCAUCUCUGCUCCACUUUUAUCAGCAUUGCGUCUGUCCGAGGAAGUGAAUCCAUAGACAGCUCCAUCCUCCAUCCCUGCAGUGGCUGACGUGGGACGCACCACCUUGUCUGCGACAGAGAUGCCGGUAGCAGAGCGUUUUCCUUGUUUAGGAGAGGGGCAAGAACACCCCUACUGCACCUUGCGGGAUUGCUUGGUUUCACGCUCGCCUGUGAAAAGCAGGCGCCUUUAGGGAGGGCUCCUGGGGGAAGAGGGACGAGGAAAGGGAAGAAGCACCGGAGGACACUGCGUGGCGGUGAGGAAGGGAGCUGCCCAGCUCUCGAGGCUGUUCUGCAGCAGACGCGUCGCACGAACGAGCAGUUGGGAACGGGUGUUGCCUGCAGCCCUGGGAAGAGGCAGCAGUGAGGAAGCACGCGAUGCCCAUACGGCUACAUCCAGCGGUGCGGCAAUCCGCUCCUCCUGCGGACCUGAUCCUGAGCGUUGCUCCAGCAAGGCCAGGUAUCGUGUAACUGCAGACACGCUUGGGGCGAGUGGCUGUGAGGCACGGGCAGCCCCAAACUCACCAGGAGGGCUCUUGAGGCACAGAGGUGUGUAAGAGAAGCUGGAUUUUCCCCAUUCCCUUUCCCAGUAGAUCAGCGCAAGCAGCAAGGUGUUGGAGACCUGCUUGCUCUCACGUCCGUCAAGCACUGCAAGGCUGCAGGACACAUUUUUGACCUCAUUUGCCCCCACCAUAAAUCAGGGGCUAAGUGGUGAUGUGCUCACUGCUGGGGUCGGGACAUCUGCACCACCCUGGCCUCUCUGGUGCACACUGGGGGGCAGAUUGCCAGUCAAGGGGCUAUUCUGCUCUUGAAAUGCCUGGUUCUUUGCAAAAUAGGUAUAGAGGGAUAAGGAGCCAAGUUCAGGGAGCCAGGCCCCUCUAAACCAAAAACGGCCUCAGGGACAGAAGGGAGCAAGCCACGAGGCAAUCUGCAGUGCAGCAGGAAAGCUGCUGGCUCCCUCCAGGGGCCACCAAGAAGCCAAGGACAGCUCUGCAAGAUGCAGGUAAUGGGGAGCUGCCAGGGCCAAUCUGCACUGGGCCUGGUUCCCGACACUGGGGUGUGAAGGGGAUCAUGGAUCGAGACCCACUGUGUCAAGACGGUGCCAGCCAGCUCCUGCUCCUGGACCAGAAUCCUGUCCAGGUUUGCAGAGGAGGGAGCGCAUGGACUCUGCAGCACAAGGGACUACUAUGAUGCACAAACACUCCCUCCUCUCCCGAGAUUCCUAUGGUCCCCCUUCCAAGACAAGAGGGAAAUCAAAGAGGUCAGGUGUCUCAGACUAAACCUUCUUUCUCACACACAAAGUGCCCUCGAACGCAAGCACGCACAUUUCUCCAGUGUCCCCAGGCUGCAGCUGGGGCUCUGUAGGAUUGCCCUGAGCGCACUCCCCACUGCAGCGUGGCUACACAGCCGUGAGCCCAGAGUCUGCUGUGCUGCAUUGAGCUUGUCACGAUUGCAUACAUUCUGCAGUCACAAGAGAUGAGAGCACAAGGCAGCGAGUCAGAUCAGCUGCAGCUGGGGGAGGGAGAAGCAGGAAAGGCUGGGGACAAGCAGCCAUGGUCUCGCUUUGCACGUCUCCUUCUCGUAUACCGACCCCUGCUUGUUUAGGUAAGCCAGGACCCAAAUGCCAGAUGACGGCCAAUGUACGUCCAUAAAAAAAUACCCCUCUCUCAUCCACCGUGCUUUGUGCUCAGCAAUGGGAUCCCACGUGCUCAGGGAUGCAGUCCCACCUCUGUGCCAAAGGCAGCCCAUGAGACCUGGCUGCCUGCCAUCCUGCAGUGGCCCCCAGAUGGGGUCUCACUGUGCCCGGGUUCAGCUGGGGGCAGCUCCCCGGGCCAUACACCCUGCAGCCCCAGAGCUGCACUGUCAGCCACAGCCCUGACAUCCUGCCACAGAGCCACCUCCAGCACCGGGCACAUAUUCAGAAGGAGGAUUUAUCCAAGAGCAGAUGCACUCCUGGGCCACUCGUGGCUUUAGUGGAGCCAAGUCCUGUUUUCUGAUGGAAAAACCCCGGGAAAUAGGAACUGCGCUUUGUAACAGAGGGGUUGGGUAAGGCCAUUCUAUGACUAAGUCACCACAAAGGGCAAAUUGCCACUUUAUUUUCUCUGUGGGGUUGCCCCACACUCAGGAGAGCUACACAAUUUCCCUCACAAGGGGAAAGCACAGCAGGAUCCAAGCUGAGGGCAAGGAGGAAGGUUGGCCUUCACCCCCCCCCCCCCCAAGCACCCCUUCCUCGCAGUACACAAAGCACCGGUUCCCAUCCCUCAUUCACAGGCCAGCUGGCCAGGGAGCAGCUUUACGUAUGACUGCUUCAUCCUAUACAAAUCCUGCCAUCAGUCAUUAAAGACAGAUUAAAACAAAAAAAAAAAAUACAUGUCUGUGCUCUCGAAUCACCACGUAGCAGAUGGAGCUGUCCUGCAUCCCCCUGCAUGUGCCAGGAGGGCCCCGGGUUUGGGAUAUGCUGAGAAAUACACGGACGGGUUGCAGAUGGGAUAAGGAGAAACAAAUGUGGGCAGAUGAGUGAUAUCAAAGGGUGAACUUAAAAAGAAAGAGGUUAAGGGAAAGAUGUUAACAGUCAAGUGCUUAAGAAGCUGCAGUAAGGGGAGGGGACGAUGUGCCUUCCUAUAGCGAUAUAGGUAGGAACGGGCUGAACCUGAAGCAGAAAUCAUUCGGGUAGUAGGAAAAGAGCUUUGCAGUGGAAAGGAUGCAGAAGCACUGGAGCAGCCUGGGAAGGAGGAGAAAUUCCCAUCUGGGGGAGGUACGGGGGAAGGGCCUGGCAGCACUCCCUGUGCAGUGCUGGUCUCAGCAGUCCUAUGCAGGCAUCCCCAGCACACAAAGUGACUGCUCCACUGGCAUCACGCACCCAUCUGCCCCAGAACUGAAUAUCUCCCUCCUGCCAACCCCCUCCCCUCCCAUCCAUCUUUACCUUCUUUCCCGGAGCCGAAGUGUUUCUGUGUCACCACAGAGACCUGGAAAGGGAUGGCAGAAGGCAGUGCCUGUAAAAGCCCAGGGCUGCUGUCCUGCUUUGAGAACAGGGCAGAGGCAUCCCGACAGCAGCGAUCGAAUUCAAGGUGUCAUUGUCCUUUUCUUCCAGAAAGGUAAGAGCUUUCCAGAAAGACUCACAGCUCCAGGCUGCUGCGCCAGGUGUACAAUAAGAUCAAGCCCACAGAAUCAAUCCAGUUUGGGGUUAUUCCCUCACCCAAUUUGUCCCACGCCAGCUCAAAACCGACCGAUUAAGCUCUAAUACCCCCAGGUGAUGUAUCCCAAAUGCCAUCCCGGAGGGACCGCUGUUUUCUCUGCUCUCCUAAUAGGCCCCUUUCUGUGAGCAGCACACCUUGUUGGGUGCGUUUGCAGAAAUAGGAAAUCAGAGGUAACCCGAUGUGUACAGGAGGGCAUCGGCUGUAAGGCAGGUACACAUAUGGCCGUGUCUUGAAGAUGACAUGCGCAGGGGACCUGCAGAAUCAGAGAAGCAUUCAGAGAAGUUGCUCAAGGAUCCUGCCCUCCAUCUGCCCCUCUCUCCGGAGGGGUUUUGGGGUUGUCAGGAACAUUCACCUCACCUGCAGCACAGCUUUCCCAGCCCGGGCUGUGUGCUCUGAGCCUAAGCUAAGGGGCUCUGUCCAUGGGGACGGCCUCUCCACUGCACAGUCCGUGCUGCAGAGCGGCUCUCCCCAUCACACAAUGGCUGCAGGGCCAUUACAGCACAAGGAUCACCUUCAGGAGGUGUUCUCGUAGCCCUGCAGGUAACUCCACCGGCAGCUGCUUGAGCAGGCAGCACCUUCUUAAAUUCCUAUCGCCCUUCUCACAAAGGAAGAGCCGAGACAAAACCGGUUCCUGCUUAAGCGGAGGAAACAAUAGCGGGACAAAGCCACACUCCGUGCUGCAAAGGCGCGGGUGGCCGCAGGAUGGCACUCCUGCCGCUUGUCCUUGAGGGACGGGAGAGCUGUGCCGGG